rnacentral:rRNA from 1 species
UACGAAGGGGGCUAGCGUUGCUCGGAAUCACUGGGCGUAAAGCGCACGUAGGCGGAUUGCUAAGUCAGGGGUGAAAUCCUGGAGCUCAACUCCAGAACUGCCCUUGAUACUGGCGGUCUCGAGUCCGGGAGAGGUGAGUGGAACUGCGAGUGUAGAGGUGAAAUUCGUAGAUAUUCGCAAGAACACCAGUGGCGAAGGCGGCUCACUGGCCCGAUACUGACGCUGAUGCACGAAAGCGUGGGGAGCAAACAGG